rnacentral:tRNA from 1 species
GGCCUUGUAGCUCAGUUGGUUAGAGCAUUGACUGUGCUAAAACCUGCCCCUUUUAGUCUUUGGUUUGAAUCCUACCGAGGCCU